AAAGGGCGUUUGGUGAAUGCCUUGGCAGUAAGAGGCGAUGAAAGACGUGAUACUCUGCGAUAAGUCAUGGGGAGCUGAGAAUAGGCUUUGAUCCAUGAAUUUCUGAAUGGGGCAACCCACCUGAUACUGUGUUAUUACUACCCUUCGGGGUGGCUAAUAAUACGGUAAACCAGGUAUUUCUAGACUGAAUACAUAGGUUUAGAAAAGCAAACCCGGGGAACUGAAACAUCUAAGUACCCGGAGGAGGAGAAAACAAAAGUGAUUCCGAUAGUAGCGGCGAGCGAAAUCGGAUUAGUCCAAACCGUUG
rnacentral:rRNA from 1 species